AGCCUGCCCAGUGACAAAGUUUAACGGCCGCGGUACCCUAACCGUGCGAAGGUAGCAUAAUCACUUGUUCUUUAAAUGGGGACUCGUAUCAACGGCACUACGAGGGCUAUACUGUCUCCUUUUUCUAAUCAGUGAAACUGAUCUCCCCGUGAAGAAGCGGGGAUUAAAAUAUAAGACGAGAAGACCCCAUGGAGCUUUAAACUCACCAUGCACCUCUGUGCCCCCCAUAUCCUUAAACACAACGGACCUGCAUGCUAGUUUUAGGUUGGGGUGACCACGGAGUACAACUUAACCUCCACAGCAAAUGGGCUAAUACCCUUAUCCACGAGACACAACUCUAAGAAUUAUUAUACUAAUGCUUAUUGACCCGAUAUUCGAUCAAUGAACCAAGUUACCCUGGGGAUAACAGCGCAAUCUACUUCAAGAGCCCAUAUCGACAAGUAGGUUUACGACCUCGAUGUUGGAUCAGGGUAUCCCGGUGGUGCAGCCGCUACCAAUGGUUUGUUUGUUCAACGAUUAAAACCCUACC
rnacentral:rRNA from 1 species